rnacentral:ncRNA from 1 species
AUAGGGGUUCUCGACAAGUCAUUGUCGGGAUUAAAAGGGAAUCGUGUGUAAAUCACGAGCUGACGCGCAACUGUAAGUCCGAUUCCAAUUUGGGAUAGCAUGUUUUUGCCAAUUAUGCCAUUGUCCACCAUAUAUAGUGGAUGAGAAGGCGGCAGAAAUCGAACAAGCCAGGAUACCUGCCUAUAUCG